CAUGCAAGUCGAGGGGAAACGACAUCGAAAGCUUGCUUUUGAUGGGCGUCGACCGGCGCACGGGUGAGUAACGCGUAUCCAACCUGCCCACCACUUGGGGAUAACCUUGCGAAAGUAAGACUAAUACCCAAUGACGUCUCUAGAAGACAUCUGAAAGAGAUUAAAGAUUUAUCGGUGAUGGAUGGGGAUGCGUCUGAUUAGCUUGUUGGCGGGGUAACGGCCCGCCAAGGCUACGAUCAGUAGGGGUUCCGAGAGGAAGGUCCCCCACAUUGGAACUGAGACACGGUCCAAACUCCUACGGGAGGCAGCAGUGAGGAAUAUUGGUCAAUGGACGAGAGUCUGAACCAGCCAAGUAGCGUGCAGGAUGACGGCCCUAUGGGUUGUAAACUGCUUUUAUAAGGGAAUAAAGUGAGUCUCGUGAGACUUUUUGCAUGUACCUUAUGAAUAAGGACCGGCUAAUUCCGUGCCAGCAGCCGCGGUAAUACGGAAGGUCCGGGCGUUAUCCGGAUUUAUUGGGUUUAAAGGGAGCGUAGGCCGGAGAUUAAGCGUGUUGUGAAAUGUAGAUGCUCAACAUCUGCACUGCAGCGCGAACUGGUUUCCUUGAGUACGCACAAAGUGGGCGGAAUUCGUGGUGUAGCGGUGAAAUGCUUAGAUAUCACGAAGAACUCCGAUUGCGAAGGCAGCUCACUGG
rnacentral:rRNA from 1 species